UACGUAGGGUGCAAGCGUUGUCCGGAAUUAUUGGGCGUAAAGAGCUCGUAGGUGGCCUGUCGCGUCGGCUGUGAAAACUCGGGGCUCAACUCCGAGCUUGCAGUCGAUACGGGCAGGCUAGAGUUCGGCAGGGGAGACUGGAAUUCCUGGUGUAGCGGUGAAAUGCGCAGAUAUCAGGAAGAACACCCGUGGCGAAGGCGGCUCUCUGGAACGCAACUGACGCUGAGACGCGAAAGCGUGGGGAGCGAACAGG
rnacentral:rRNA from 1 species